AGAGCUUGCUCUCGGGUGACGAGCGGCGGACGGGUGAGUAAUGUCUGGGAAACUGCCUGAUGGAGGGGGAUAACUACUGGAAACGGUAGCUAAUACCGCAUAAUGUCGCAAGACCAAAGUGGGGGACCUUCGGGCCUCAUGCCAUCAGAUGUGCCCAGAUGGGAUUAGCUAGUAGGUGGGGUAACGGCUCACCUAGGCGACGAUCCCUAGCUGGUCUGAGAGGAUGACCAGCCACACUGGAACUGAGACACGGUCCAGACUCCUACGGGAGGCAGCAGUGGGGAAUAUUGCACAAUGGGCGCAAGCCUGAUGCAGCCAUGCCGCGUGUAUGAAGAAGGCCUUCGGGUUGUAAAGUACUUUCAGCGGGGAGGAAGGCGAUAAGGUUAAUAACCUUGUCGAUUGACGUUACCCGCAGAAGAAGCACCGGCUAACUCCGUGCCAGCAGCCGCGGUAAUACGGAGGGUGCAAGCGUUAAUCGGAAUUACUGGGCGUAAAGCGCACGCAGGCGGUCUGUCAAGUCGGAUGUGAAAUCCCCGGGCUCAACCUGGGAACUGCAUUCGAAACUGGCAGGCUAGAGUCUUGUAGAGGGGGGUAGAAUUCCAGGUGUAGCGGUGAAAUGCGUAGAGAUCUGGAGGAAUACCGGUGGCGAAGGCGGCCCCCUGGACAAAGACUGACGCUCAGGUGCGAAAGCGUGGGGAGCAAACAGGAUUAGAUACCCUGGUAGUCCACGCCGUAAACGAUGUCGAUUUGGAGGUUGUGCCCUUGAGGCGUGGCUUCCGGAGCUAACGCGUUAAAUCGACCGCCUGGGGAGUACGGCCGCAAGGUUAAAACUCAAAUGAAUUGACGGGGGCCCGCACAAGCGGUGGAGCAUGUGGUUUAAUUCGAUGCAACGCGAAGAACCUUACCUGGUCUUGACAUCCACAGAACUUAGCAGAGAUGCUUUGGUGCCUUCGGGAACUGUGAGACAGGUGCUGCAUGGCUGUCGUCAGCUCGUGUUGUGAAAUGUUGGGUUAAGUCCCGCAACGAGCGCAACCCUUAUCCUUUGUUGCCAGCGGUUCGGCCGGGAACUCAAAGGAGACUGCCAUGA
rnacentral:rRNA from 1 species